rnacentral:misc_RNA from 1 species
GAUUAAGAACGCAGCAAAAUGCGAUAAGUAAUGUGAAUUGCAGAAUUCAGUGAAUCAUCGAAUCUUUGAACGCACAUUGCGCCCGCCAGUAUUCUGGCGGGCAUGCCUGUUCGAGCGUCAUUUCAACCCUCAAGCUCAGCUUGGUGUUGGGACUCGCGGUAACCCGCGUUCCCCAAAUCGAUUGGCGGUCACGUCGAGCUUCCAUAGCGUAGUAAUCAUACACCUCGUUACUGGUAAUCGUCGCGGCCACGCCGUAAAACCCCAACUUCUGAAUGUUGACCUCGGAUCAGGUAGGAAUACCCGCUGAACUUAAGCAUAUCAAUAAGCGGAGGA